UUUGGGACAGCUAGUAGUUCAAAAGUAUGACCACAGAUGGCGUGAAUAACAUAAACAAAAUCAAGGAAAAGCAAGGAAGCAACCUAGAGUCUGGAGAACAUUUCAGAGCUUUUUUUGACAGAUAGUACUUCUUUUUUUGCCAGAUAGCAACUAGCAAGUGAAUUAACUCAGACACAAAUUCAAUUUACGUUAAAAGUUUAUUCAUCGGAUGACCAUAGAAAGUGAAUUAACUCAAGACACAAAAUUAAUUAACGUGACAAGUUUAUUCAUCACAACGAUAAAUUGUAGGCUUCAUCACGGGUUGAACAUUUCAUUCAUCAGAAGACGAAUCGGACACCACAGAAGAGCUGGUGACACCAAAGAGAUUGUCAAGCGUUGUAAUACUAUUAGCUAAGCAAUCGUGCUCUUUGAGAAAGGAUUCAAGUUCCACAAAUUUCUUUUGUCUAACCAGAGUCAUAAUCAUUCCGGCGUGAAUUCUUGCAUUAGGGAAAGCAAGAGCAUUUGAAGCAAUUAUUUGCAUAUUACUUCGAACAGAGCAGUUCUCGAAGAUGAUGUGCAAAGCGUAUUACAAUCAUUUGAAAACCUAUUCACUGAAGAAGGAUGGAAACAACUAAUGACAAACAUUCAUGAACAAAAUCAAACAACACUGGAAUACAUCUGUCCAACUUGCCGCAAACCUGAAGGCACCAAAAAAGAACCUUGGAUUUUCUGUGAGUCAUGCCAAUUGUGGCAUCACUACAGCUGUCAAGCCAUUAAAAAACAAACACAAUCAAGCAAUUAUACCUGUACAAUCUGUCGAAAGUCGAAAUAAACAAUUGAUUCAGGUUAAACUGAAAUCCUUCAACGAAGG